UACGAAGGGGGCUAGCGUUGCUCGGAAUCACUGGGCGUAAAGCGCACGUAGGCGGAUUGCUAAGUCAGGGGUGAAAUCCUGGAGCUCAACUCCAGAACUGCCUUUGAUACUGGCGAUCUCGAGUUCGGGAGAGGUGAGUGGAACUGCGAGUGUAGAGGUGAAAUUCGUAGAUAUUCGCAAGAACACCAGUGGCGAAGGCGGCUCACUGGCCCGAUACUGACGCUGAGGUGCGAAAGCGUGGGGAGCAAAGCAGG
rnacentral:rRNA from 1 species